GACGAACGCUGGCGGCGUGCUUAACACAUGCAAGUCGAGCGGUAAGGCCCUUUCGGGGGUACACGAGCGGCGAACGGGUGAGUAACACGUGGGUGACCUGCCCUCAGCUCUGGGAUAAGCCUGGGAAACUGGGUCUAAUACUGGAUAUGACUCCACGGUGCAUGUCGUGGGGUGGAAAGCCUUGUGCGGCUGAGGAUGGGCCCGCGGCCUAUCAGCUUGUUGGUGGGGUGANGGCCUACCAAGGCGACGACGGGUAGCCGGCCUGAGAGGGCGACCGGCCACACUGGGACUGAGACACGGCCCAGACUCCUACGGGAGGCAGCAGUGGGGAAUCUUGCGCAAUGGGCGAAAGCCUGGCGCAGCGACGCCGCGUGAGGGAUGACGGCC
rnacentral:rRNA from 1 species